UACAGAGGGUGCGAGCGUUGUUCGGAAUUAUUGGGCGUAAAGGGCGCGUAGGCGGUGCGGUAAGUCACCUGUGAAAUCUCCUGGCUCAACUGGGAGCUUGCAGGCGAAACUGCCGUGCUGGAGUGUGGGAGAGGUGCGUGGAAUUCCUGGUGUAGCGGUGAAAUGCGUAGAUAUCUGGAGGAACACCGGUGGCGAAGGCGGCAUCCUGGACCAUUACUGACACUGAAAAGCGAAAGCCAGGGGGCAAACGGG
rnacentral:rRNA from 1 species